rnacentral:rRNA from 1 species
GCCUACGGGACGCAGCAGUGGGGGAUAUUGCACAAUGGGGGAAACCCUGAUGCAGCGACGUCGCGUGGGCGAAGAAGUAUUUCGGUAUGUAAAGCCCUAUCAGCAGGGAAGAAGAAAUGACGGUACCUGAGUAAGAAGCACCGGCUAAAUACGUGCCAGCAGCCGCGGUAAUACGUAUGGUGCAAGCGUUAUCCGGAUUUACUGGGUGUAAAGGGAGCGCAGGCGGCACGGCAAGCCUGAUGUGAAAGCCCGCGGCCCAACCGCGGGACUGCAUUGGGAACCACCGGGCUGGAGGGCCGGAGAGG